rnacentral:lncRNA from 1 species
UCGAUCCGCUCCUCUCCAAACUGCCCGUGAUAGAGAGCGCCGUCGCUGCUCACCAUGCCCAUCGAGCUCCUCUCGCCGCCCCUCCAGGUACAGGAGUACCACCGGUAUCCUACUCGUCUCCAAGCCGAAGAUCGCCGCCCAAGAUGUGCUUCAACGUCGCCAUCUCCGCCAUCUUUGUCCUCGGCAUCGAUGGCCUCCUCCAACGCACCCCCGAGUCCGUUGGACCCUCCUGUGCCUCCCUGGUGAGCUUAGCUCAACCCCUCUCCUCUUUCCAGCUACGAGCGCGUCCUCUGGGCCAUAGAACCGCCGUGAUCGGAGUCGGCCGCUGCCAUGGUCCUUUUUUCCCACAGCAGCUGCCCCCAUUCUUGGCAGCUGUAACCGGAGCUCCGCUCCCCACGCACACGCACUCCCGCUCCUGACACGCCUUGCCAUGCCGCAGGUCGCGCCCCGCUAGGCCCAACGCCCCUCGAGAAUGCGCUUGCGCGCCCCUGGCCAUGCCGUGGCCUCCCCCCGCCCCAACGCACACGCAGGCCCACACAUGGCCGCGUCCAUGGUUCCCCGCCUCUACCUCCUGUCCGUCCGGCCUCGCGCUAGCCGCGCACACAGCCCGCGUCUGCCUUGCGCCCGAGCAUGUCCCGCUCACCGCUGCACUCUGCUGCUGCUCUCUGUGCAAACACAGUAGCCUCUACGCUUGGCCGUCGCCGACCACCCCGCCCCCGUCUGCAGACGAACACCCCGCUUUUUCGGCAGCUCCUGCCGGCCGCGCUACCUGCUCGCACGGCCGCCCGCGCGGACUCGUGCUCCUGACCACAGUCACCGAGCGCCGGUGCACAGGCGAGCGAGCGUGCCCAGCGAGGCCGCCUGGCCCUUUGUAGCCCCUAUUUACUUUAGGUCUACUAUUAGUACUAAUUAGUGGUUAGGGGUAGUGCCUAUGACGUGUGGACCCCUCUGCCUAAAUAAGACAAUAAAAAUCAGCUGUUUAGAUUAAAGACAACGACACCUGGGCCCCAUCUGCCUGAUUUGACCAGUCAACGGUCAACUCUGUUAACUGCUGACUAGCUGUUGACUAAGUCAACUGGCCCCAGGCCCCACUUGUCGGCCUUAGUGGCUAGCCAACUGCUAGGUGACAAAAGUGUUUGACUGUGUUUUUUGAAUUAAUAUAAUUCUAGAAAUUUAGAAAAUGUUUAAAACUUUAAAAAUAAUCUAUAAAAUAAAUCGUAACUCCAAUGAAAAUAAUUUAUAUAUAAAAAUCGAUCAGAAAAAUAUGACGAAUCCGAUAAUGCAAUCAAUUCAUCUGUCACAUGCCUCUAGCAUGAUGCACAUGGAACCAUCCCCCUAUUUUCAUCUGUCUAGAAAAUGCCAAACGCCGGGAAAACCCCUCCGGAUAUUUUCCCGCUCCGUUUGUAACGCGUAGCCCUGUGUUAGGUCAUCCCUAGCACCGCGAUUGCCAUAUAUGCUUUGUGAUGCUUCGAUUGCUCUGUUAUUUAUUGUGUUCCCCCUCCGUUACUUCUUUCCGGUAGACCCCGAGACCGCUGUCGAUGCCACUGUGAUCGACUACGUCGACGAGGACCCUUCUUCCUUUUCAGCAGAGCUUCCAAAAGCAAGCAAAACCCCUUGAUCAUUGCUAUAUCACCCAUUCCCUUCUCUCUUAUGCUUGAAAUUAAACUGCUACUGCUUUUGUAUAAUCCUAUUCUGAUGCAUAGCCUGAUUUUGUAAGCUGCAAUUGCUACCUUACUUGUUUAUCCGAAACUACUUAGUAUAGGUUGGUUAGUGAUCCACCAGUGACCCCUCACCUUGUCCCAGUUGCCCCCGCUUCAUGAUCAAUGACUCGAUCAACGUGAUCAACAUCCGGAGCCCAACACAUCACAUCACAUCCCCGCUUAGUUGUACAACUCUGCAGAGCUACUAUCGAGUGCUGGGGAUGAUACCUCGUAUAGCACUUCUGAUGCUAACUCUGUAGUGUAGCUAAUCGGUCAUGGUCUUCGAGGGUGAUUCUUCCUUCACCACUCCCGACAACGACUCUGUCGUGCAAACCCUCAAGUGUGGACCAUCGAGGGUGAUUCCUCCAAGUCCACCUUGACAGUUACAUCGAGUGGGAAUCCAUCGAGGGUGAUUCCUCGGGUUUCCCCCUUGCUGCUUUGGACACAUGGUUACUUUGAUGUUAAGUCGGUCGGCUCCGAGGGGUACCUGCGAGUUGAUGUGUAGUCGGGUUGACCUGGAGGGUACCCGCGAGAUUUCUGUGGCACAGCCAGGCAUUCCCGGCCCUUGCCGCAAGUCCACGAGACGGGACGACGGGGUCACAUGAUUAUGAGUCUUUGAUCGUUACCGCGCGCUCCCAAGACACUAAUGGAUUUGGGUAUUUGAUAUGAGUUGGCCACUGGCCUGUACGCACUAACCACCACGCGGGAACAAAUAUGGGCACUCGGCGUCGUAUGUAUCAGCCGAAGCUCUUCAGACGUCAGCGACUGAGCGGCGCACACCCGAGUGGCCCGCGUAAGCACCUACCUUGUAUAAGGAGGUUGGCAAGACUGACACCGGUCUCGUACGCAACGAGCAUAAGUGCAAAGGGUGAUGUGCCCAAGACCCCUGUGCUUAGGAUGUAGACCGGAGUGCUGGCCUCUCUAUUGAGCCUAGGUAGUGCUAUGAUGUGUUGAUCUUUCGAGGCCGGGCAUCACCCAGGAAAGUGUGUCCGGCCAAAGUGAUUGAGCGUGUUGGGUAAUUUGGUGCACCCUACAGGGAAGUUUAUCUAUUCAAAUAGCCAGGUCCACGGUAACAGGACAACUUGGAGUUGUAUCCCGAUCUAUACAACUAGAACUGGAUACUGAGAUGUGAAAUGGAUAUGAUGGCUCCGGGAUUGCUUUCUCGCAGGGAGUUGAGAAAGGAUCUCUAGGCGUUAAUGCUACAACAUGCUUGCUAAUUAUAAUAUGCUAUUUUGUACUCUUCUAAAUGCUUCAAGACGCUUGAAGAUGCUAGUCUUUAAUAGGCUAGGCCUUCCCUCUAUUCUGGAAUUUCUGCAAUUAAGUCCAAAGAUACAACCCCGUUCCUUUGAUACCGAUGCAUACUUAGCAUAGUUCUGAUGUAAGUCUUGCGAGUACUUUGGAUGAGUAAUCACGGUUGCUUUGCUACCUCUUUUCCCUCUAUAUCCGAUUGUUGCGAUAAGAUGACGGAUCCCAUGAGCCUGAUGCCACCACCGACGACUACUACUACCCCGAGGGUGCCUACUAUUAUGUGGAGACCAUCGACGGCCAGGAGUAGUUAGCAGGAUCCCAGACAGGAGGCCUUGCUUUAAGGAAGACUUGUUUAACUUAUGUCUAUGCUCAGAUAUUGUUGCUUCCGCUGAAUCAUUUGUAUUCGAGCCCCCGAGGCCCCUGGCUUGUAAUAUAAAGCUUGUAUGACUUUAAUUUGUGUCUAGAGUUUUGUUGUGAUAUAUUCCUGUGAGUCCCUGAUGCUGAUCAUACAUAUUUGCGUGUAUGAUUAGUGUAUAAUUGAAUCGGGGGUAUCACAAGU